rnacentral:lncRNA from 1 species
CUUAGAAUGCAGCACACGAGCAUUCUAAUGUUGGUGCUAUACCUUUUCAGCGUCCUCAAUAGCAGUGUCAACUUCUUCAGCUGCAACAAUAUUAAUAUACGUGGGUAUUCUAUCAACUAUGCCUAUCGAAAAUGUUUAUCAACGAGGAUUCGGCAAGAAUGUUCGAAGCCGAAUUAAUGAUUGAAAGUUACUCUACAUUAAUGAACUAUGUUAUUGUAUAAGUGUCGUUCAUGGCGGACAUUUGGACCGGAAUAAAUGAGUAAGAACUUAAAAA